GUGGGUGGUAUAAAAGCCAAACACUGUUGGGACAUUAACGAUACUUCAGCUGAUCUCAGAUCGAUGUCUCGGGUCUUUACCUGGUUGCGGACAUCUGGAACUGUGAGCCACAGAGGGAGGAUUAUGGGCAGCAGGAAGAGAUUCAUCAUCCUCUUCACUUGACUCAUCACUGUCUUCAUCGCUGUCAUCUUCAUCACCAUCAGAGUCCUCUGACCCUCCUGAGCCAUCCUCUCCUGCAGGCACAUCCUCCUUAGGUGUUGAAGAAAGACAUCACAUGGGGCAGCAGUAGCAACAAAAGAGAAAUAAAAGCAAAUACCAAAGAAGCCUCGAGAGGCCAUUUGUCUCAAGUUGUGGCUCUGCACAUUGAGUCUUACAUAGACAGUGAGAGGCUCCUCCAGCCCCUGAGUCUCUUCUGUGGCUUCCAAGACACCCUCUGACGAGCCUUCCCCCAAAUCCUCUCCGAUCUGAGGCAUCGACAAAGGCUCGUACAGUCUGGCACUGAUGGUCAGCUGGUAGA